rnacentral:rRNA from 1 species
AGUCGAACGGCAGCACGGGAGCAAUCCUGGUGGCGAGUGGCGAACGGGCGUUUAAUAUAUCGGAACGUGCCCAGUCGUGGGGGAUAACGCAGCGAAAGCUGUGCUAAUACCGCAUACGAUCUCUGGAUGAAAGCGGGGGACUCGUAAGAGCCUCGCGCGAUUGGAGCGGCCGAUAUCAGAUUAGCUAGUUGGUGGGGUAAAGGCCCACCAAGGCGACGAUCUGUAGCUGGUCUGAGAGGACGACCAGCCACACUGGAACUGAGACACGGUCCAGACUCCUACGGGAGGCAGCAGUGGGGAAUUUUGGACAAUGGGCGCAAGCCUGAUCCAGCAAUGCCGCGUGCAGGAUGAAGGCCUUCGGGUUGUAAACUGCUUUUGUACGGAACGAAAAGGUCUGCCUUAAUACGGUGGGCCCAUGACGGUACCGUAAGAAUAAGCACCGGCUAACUACGUGCCAGCAGCCGCGGUAAUACGUAGGGUGCGAGCGUUAAUCGGAAUUACUGGGCGUAAAGCGUGCGCAGGCGGUUAUAUAAGACAGAUGUGAAAUCCCCGGGCUCAACCUGGGACCUGCAUUUGUGACUGUAUAGCUAGAGUAC